AGCAGGAUCAGUGAUCCUGCAGUUCCACAGAUGCAGAAGAGGCCGCAGAUGCGUGAUGGCAGUGGAGAUUUGGCUGUCAGUGGAGACUGCAGCUGAAUUGAUGAGCGAGGCCGGUGAGGGAGCGGUGAAGAGCGCCUGCUGCUGCUGUCUGUGGUGUUGAAUGAACGACAGUAGGGUUUAAUGGGCAUCUCUCAUUUCUCUCAGCUGUCAUGAUACAAACAGCCACAAGCAAUAGCACCAGCUGUGUAACCUCACAACCAACAGUCAUACAUGAAUAAAAGAACAUUCACUACAUUAUAUAUAAAAAAAGAAUAAACCUCAAGGAAACAAUUCAUUUAAAGGGAUACUCCAUCGCAAAAUGAAAAUUGUGUCAUUAUUCACUUACCCCCAUGUUGUUCCAAACCUGUUUGUUCGUCUUCGGAACACAAUUUAAGAUAUUUUGGAUGAAAACCAGUAGGCUUGAGACUGUCCCAUAGACUGCCAAAUAAAUAACAGUGUCAAGGUCCAGGAAAGUAUGAAAAGCAUCGUCAGAAUAGUCCAUGGUUAUGUGUAUUUAUGCUUUGGUUCGAAUGAAAGCAGCGCAUCGGCGCAGCGCUGCUGACACAGCAAAGCGUCUGCCGUCUGCAUACUGCUCAGAAUUUCCAAAAUGGUGCUACACUGAUUUGGUGAUUAAUGACAAAAUUUUCCUUUAAGAUUUAGAGGCAUAAAGUACAAUAAUAAUAAUAAUAAUAGUAAUAAUAAUAAUAAUAAUAAUAGGAAAUGUUUAAACAUUUUAACUAAGAUUUAAAUGUUAACAUACUUUAAUAUAUAUUAAUAUAUAUAGAAUUUAUCCCUGUGACAGUAACACUGAAUUUCAAACAGCCAUUAUUCCAGUCUUCAUGAACAGUCUGCAGACACAUUAUUUAUGUAUUUAUUAUUAUUAUUAUUAUUAUUAUUAUUAUUAUUAUUAUUAUCUUUUUAUCUAUUUUUUUAAUGGUAGUACACAAAUUACAAAUGUUCCUCAGACAUCACGUUGCAUCAAUCACACAAAACAAAAAUGUUAAAUGUUAAGAGAUUAAAUGUUAACGCUAAAAACAAAAGCUUAAACAUAUACAACAGUGAUUUGAACACAGAUCCCAAUUUAAAAUCUGUGCACUACUUGAAACAUGACUUGUAUCAACAUUUAACUAUUCUGAACAACCUGGAGUUUUGCUAAUGAUAUAAAAGCGACGUGACAUACAGUACAGCCAAGUAUGGUGACCCACACUCAGAAUUUGUGCUCUGCAUUUAACCCAUCCAAAGUGCACACACACAGCAGUAAACGCGCACACACACACACACACACACACACACACAGGGAGCAGUGGGCACCCAUUUAUGCUGCUGCGCCCGGGGAGCAGUUGGGGGUUCGUUGCCAUGCUCAAGGGCACCUCAGUCGUGGUAUUGCCGGCCCGAGACUCGAACCCACAACCUUAGGAUUAGGAGUCAAACUCUCUAACCACUAGGCCAUGACUUCCCCUAUGACAAAUACAAAUAUGGCUCACAUCUGAAAGGGUAUGAAGCCAUUAUAGUCACAUAAUAUUAUCAAAAAGCUGUUAAAAAAGUACAAAAUAAAGAAAUCAUGCAUUUUUGUCACAACAAUGUCUCAUUAAUUUGAAUUUCAGUGUUUUGAGAUUAGAACAACUUGAACAUACAGUGUGCGACUCUGUAAAAUGAGAGAACUGUUUACGGGCCUGAAUAUUUAUGCAGAAAUUUUCUAGGACACCAGUACAUACCGUGCAUUCUCUUGACUUUAAUUGGAGUCCUUGAGAAGACAAAGGAAAGAAAGAGGAAAAAAAACAUCUAGCGUGAACAGUUGGUUGUGUAACAGCGGAGCCGAUGAUGCGCGGGCCUAUAAAUACAGACUGGCAGCAGGAGCGCAUUGUGGGCCAGUGUUUCCCCUCAGCCCACUCGGCUUUGUUUAUUCCCAACCGCCUGGCUUGUUAUGCCUCUGCACAGCUUUGACAUUGGCAGAGAAAUCAGGAAACACAAUGCACAGCACCAACUCCCUCACGGACUUUGACCGAUGCCUCCCUUGCUGUAUGUGUGACUCCCUCGUACAAGAAAACAAAUGAUCAAUUUGCCAUACAUCAGCCAUUUUAUUGGCAGGUACAGUUGCAAUGCUUUCCAGUACGGUAACCACAGAAUAAUAAAUGUUUCCUCUGUGUGAGAUGAUGCAAUGAUUAAUGUAGCUGCCCUGUCCUGUAUAUAAUUUCACCUGGUAGCCUAGAGCUAAUGUCACCGGCAACACCUCCGCUGUCAUUUGUUCUUAAUAAGAAUCCAGCUCAGCUCAGUUGUCAACCAAUCCAAUUCACUCUCGGCUUAAUAGUUAAGGUAUCGCCUGGAGAAGUUGAAGGGGAAGACGCAAAAGAUAAACACAUAUAAUGUAUAAAUGUAUAUAAUAAGGAGAAAGAGACAGGAAGAGUUGGGUCUCAUCUAAAUUGUUAGAUAAUGCAUUUGAAUGAGUUGCAUGUAUCUAGCCUUUCCGGAGAAUUCCGCCAUGCAUUUUCUAAGCUUCUAAUGAAACAAUAUAUCACCUUCUCUACCCACGUUCCUCAGCCUGGGUGCGGGCUUGCUAACACUUCGGCUUUCAUCUUCUAGAUGUGGGUGAUAUUAUUCAUAAAGUGUAAAAAUCAACUCUUCAGCUAUUUACUGCAAGCCCAAAAAACGGAGAGCAGAAAACGGAAGCCCAGGGGAGAAAGUCACUAAGACCAACCAUAUCAGCACUGUGUCAGAAAAUACAAUUGGUUUCGAACAAGCUAGUUUACUCAAAAAUACAAAUUCUGUCAGCUGUCACUCACCCUGGUGUUGUUUUAAAAUGGUUUUGAGUUCUGUGAAGAAAAAAAAAAAGGAGAUAUUUAGCAGAAUGUCCAAGCUGCUGUUUUCCGUACAUUUAAAGUAAAUUGAGACUAUGGCAGUCUAUGACCCCAGGAAUUGGAAGGAAUGUAACAAUUCAAGUUCCUUAACAGUUCUAUUUAAUGAUUCUUUUCAGCUUCAGGAUAUAAAAAGGGAGGAAAACAAUAUGUAACAGGGAGAUGAAUGGGUUCAAGACUACACUUCCCAUAAGUCCGUGGGGUAAAUUAAUUACAUCUGCACCUGCUAUAAAUAGAUUCACAGUAGUAUAGUUUUCUCUCAUCUCAUUCAUCGUUAUUUCAAACAAGAGUGUGCAAAGAUCAGAAUCCUGCUUGUAUUACUGGUGAUUGGCCUGGCAACACAGUCUUCAGAAUUAAUGAAUGAUGUGUGAGUGAAUAAUGUUCAAAAGGUCUCUUAAAGGAGAACCAUCCGGUUGGUUUUUAAAUUCCUCUUUCUUAGAUCCAGUUGUUUUAAAAGGACUAGCACGACUAUUGUCCAGUGCUCUUUUUGUAUACAUAUGUCUGAAGAUUUGCAGCAAGAAUUAAUGGACCUGUGUGAACAGCUGCCUAGUUUGCAAGCAUUGAAUGAUCAGCUGAGAAGUCGAGCAUCACCAUCCAGUGGACAUGUUUCAAAUCCUUCUGCCUCCACUAAUUUCAAUACUCCUCCAAUGUCUCUUAACAGGGUGCUGUAUGUUCUUAGAGGGAGAAAGUGCCCACGUUUCUAUGGACAUUCUGAUUCAUCAACUAAUAACUGGCCACAAACUGUAGUGAAACCUUUAUCACUUGUACAAGCAGUUUUAUUACAAUUCACAGAUACCAGCGUUCACAUAAAAUAAAUAUCCAAAACCACAUCCAAAGACCAACCUCAUUCAAGGAAAAAGAAUAACACCUUUGACACGCCACAGGGCACAACUAUCAGUGAGAAAAUAUACAACCACCAAUUGAAAUUCAAACCCCAAUGCAGCACAGCACUCGAAAGGAAAUACGGAUCACUAGAAACCACAGAAGAAUCCCCACCACCUCACCAGUGCCAGUCACACCCAUGGAGGAUACCCUGCAGCCACCAAUAAGUCAGAAAGGAGGCCAAUUUAAAAAAAAAGAUUAUUGUAAGUACCUUGAAUUGAGCAUUAAAUUCUUUAUUCCAAUCAAAUACCUUUUAAAAUAACUGGAUCUAAGAAAGAGGAAUUAAAAACCAACCGGAUGGUUCUCCUUCAAGAGACCUAUAAAACAAACCUUUAUGAAACACACCAUCUUCAUAAAUGUUCAUAAAUGUUCAUGUUCAUGCACACUCUUGUUUGUAACAUUGAUAGAUGAAUGAGAUGAGAGAAGCUAUACUACUGUGAAUCUAUUUAUAGCAGGUGCAGAUGUAAUUAAGCUACCCCACCGACUUAUGGGAAGUGUAGUCCCGAACUCAUUCAUCACCCUGUUGCCAUCACAAAUCUAGUUCUGUCAUUUUAAUAGCA
ensembl:lncRNA